CUGGGCGCCACCGGGACAGAUGAGUCCCGGCUGAAGGCAGGCUUCUGGCUUGUGAUACAGAAAUGGCCAAAAUACUUCCUUUCAAGCUUUCUGUGUACUGGAAACCCUCCUUGACUAAUUAGGACCCGCCUCUCUGAAAUUCCUGAAUCUGCGGCAUUAAUUAAACAGAGAGAAGCGUUUUCUCCCCAUAAAGCAGGAGAACUGGAAUAAUAUAGGAAUUCAGGUGUAAUGGAUGGUACUCCAGUAGCCAUUUUGGACCAUGAGAUGACCUUUGGAAUGGAAGCUGCAUGUGGCAAAGCAAACUUCACAAGGAGCCUGGGUUUCUGUCACCAAACCAUCCCUGAACUGCUUAGCUCUGGACUUAUUACAAUAGAGAGACCUAAAUAUUUGCCCUACUUAAGCCACUGUUAUUUUGGGUUUUCUCUUCCUUUGGCCAAACUUAAUUCUAAAUAAUGUAGCAUCCACUGGGCACUUCACAUCCACUGUCUCACAGAACAUCUGCAACGCCUCUGUGAAGUUCCAGAACUGCUCGUCCCAUCCCCAGUCGUGCUCCACCCCAAUCCACUCUCUCAGGAAUGGCCUGAUUGAAUCUUCCCACAUAAAUCGCCUCACAGCACCUCUGCAUGGAAUCUUUCCAUGGUGUUUUGGUUAUCUAAUGCUAGAUAACAAAUCACCUCAAAACACUGGCUUAAGAAACAAUAAUUUCAGCUUCUGUUGGUCAGGAAUUCGGGAAGGAGUCAGACUGGCAGCUCUCACCUGGGGUCUCUCGAAUGGUUGCAGUCGGAAGUUGGCUGGGGCGGGCUGCCGUCACCUGGAGACCAGACAGGGCUCUCCAUCCAUAGAGCAUCCAUAGAGCGCCCCUCAGAUGGCUCGCCCACACACCCGGGGAAGCUGCUGGUAGCUGGGGGCGGGGACCUCAGCUCCUGCCCACGUGGCCUUCUCUGCAGGGCUGCUGAGUGUCCUCUGGGCAUGGAGGCUGGCUUCCCCCAGAGGGAGCAAUCGCAGGCAUGAGGUGGAAGCUGCGUUGCCUUGUAUGCCCUGGCCGUGGAAUCACACCCCAUCACUUCCACCCUGUUCUCGUGGUUGGGGAAGUUGCUCGUAUCUGGCUGGGGUCGAGGGGAG
rnacentral:lncRNA from 1 species